AGCGAACGCUGGCGGCAGGCUUAACACAUGCAAGUCGAACGCCCCCUCGGGGGAGUGGCAGACGGGUUAGUAACGCGUGGGAACGUGCCCUUUGGUUCGGAAUAUUCUCGGGAAACUGAGAGCAAUACCGGAUAAGCCCUACGGGGGAAAGAUUUAUCGCCAAAGGAGCGGCCCGCGUCAGAUUAGCUAGUUGGUAGGGUAAUGGCCUACCAAGGCUACGAUCUGUAGCUGGUCUGAGAGGAUGAUCAGCAACACUGGGACUGAGACACGGCCCAGACUCCUACGGGAGGCAGCAGUGGGGAAUAUUGGACAAUGGGCGAAAGCCUGAUCCAGCCAUGCCGCGUGGAUGAUGAAGGCCUUAGGGUUGUAAAAUCCUUUCACCGGAGAUGAUAAUGACAGUAUCCGGAGAAGAAGCCCCGGCCAACUUCGUGCCAGCAGCCGCCGUAA
rnacentral:rRNA from 1 species